CGUUACACUCUGUUUAUGUCUAUGACGAAUCACACAGCAGGUCUCGCAACGCCGCUGGAUCCGGUUCCUGCCAUUCUGACGAGGAAGAACCACCAUCCUGGUACAAAACCUUCCUGAAACGUGUCCUCUGGGCCGCACUCCCGCUGCAGAUCUUCCUGCUGCUGGUGCUGGUGGUGGCCUGUCUUGUGCCUACGUCUGAGGACCACUGCAGCUGUGCCCAACUCAACAAUUUCACCCACUCCUUACACCCAAUGCUCAGCUACACCAAGGGGCCUCCGCCUAUGUGAGCUCCACUUUGAAGUCAAGACGGCAGCUCAGCGUCAGGUUUCCCUCUAAAUUGACAACUGCCGUUGAGUUUGGCAGCCAUUAUCGUGUCCUUGUACAGCAAAUACAGCUGCUAAUUUUACAGUAUGUCACUCUGAGUCUCGUGUAGAUGUUAGAACGAAGCCUAUUGCACUGAAAACUGCUGUCAGAUAAGUGUCGUUAGUGCUACUGAUGUUCUUCCAUGUUUGAUGUGAAGGAGGAAACUAGAGCGUAGGAUAUUAACUCACUGUGAGUUAAUCAGGUCUUUUUUAAUCAUGGAAAGAUCAAGUUUAUUGCGAAAAAACUGAAAGGUGUUGGGUUGCUUGUAUCAAAUGAAUAACUUGUAAAAAAGAGAAGAUAAAACAUUUAUGAACUCUAUAUUGCAAUUAUUUUUUUUAUAUGUAUUUUUUGCAUGUGUUCAUCCUUUGGUUUUAAAACAAUCGUUGAUUUUAUUGGAUUAGUCAUUGUUUAUUUUUUCAUUUUUGAUCUUAACUAACCUGCUGUAAUAUUCAAGGUAACUGUGUCAUGAAUAUACUUUACUGAAUGCAAACCACUGAUAUCAAAGAAAAGGAUAUUUAUGUAUGUACAUAAGUACUUACCUAAGAAACCUUCGCAAUGAAAAUACACCUAUGAUAUACACAUAACCUGUUGAUAAGGAUUUUUCAUUACAAUUAAAGACUGAAUG